ensembl:lncRNA
UCAUGAUCAGCUUGAAUGAACGCAGCAUCAAAGCCAAAUAAAUUGGAGCAGACAGCCAGAUAAAAAGAGCAGCAAAGAUGAUCACACUGUCUUGUGCUCAAUUAAAUAUGGACUUCAAAGUAUUUGUUUGCAUAAAUCACGGAAAUCUGGUAAUCUUCCUCUAACAUCCUGAUAGACAUGGCUCCAUAUUGGUCUUUACUGAACAGCACCCAAUCAACAGUUCCUUCUGCACAGGUGUUAGUAAAUCCUGCUGUGAAGGCAUUUCGUGGUGGGUACAUGCAAUGGACCAAUGGACAAAUAUAGGCCCACCUCUUUCUACAAUGCAUAUUUUAUUGUACAAUACAUUAAUUCAUGUUCUGAAUGCAACAGAAGAGACAAUGAUACAUUUAGG